CAGUAGCGUUACUACAGAUCGGUCUGUAGUGAGUAUGCACGUAAACAUAAACCCCACUAUAAUCUAAGACUUGGAAGAAAAAUCUUUUUCUUGUCGGUUGGCAGUUGUUGCUAAGUCCUAAAAUAAGACGACGCUGAUAUACUGCAAUCAAAAAGUUCAAAAAUGUUCCAAUUAUGCAGAAUAACCGGUUUAUGGUUUUCCUUAUGAAGGAUUCCAUCGAAGCUCUGGAUGGACUGGAUUAAUCUUUUAUGCCUAGCGCUGAUCAGCCACUCGUUUUGGGGUGUAAUAACGUCGUGGGAAUGCUACUCGUGCUCUGGAACCGGAGAUGAGUGUAAGGAAGCAUACAACUACACCAAGAAGACUUGUGAACCUGGAACCACGACGUGCAUCACCGUUCGUCAUUUUAAUGUUCCGCUUGACAAGAAGAAGUGGUCACGAGACAAAGUUCACUAUGCUAGAGCUUGCGGGAAAGGGUACUUCAGUCGAGUGUGGAUAGAUGCUGAGGACCGUACCCGUUACAUUAUCGAAGCGGAAGCUAUUAUUUGUGAUAGUUCAUUGUGCAACGGCAAGGGAGAGGCCUUCCCUACUCCAAACUACACUGUUCCCGAGCGUGCUAAUGUAACAACAACUACGACUGCAAAGCCAAAAUGAUCACGAUCUUCACCAACCUCCCGGGAACAUUUACCGACCGCUCGUUAGUGACCAAAAUCUACAACUACGGAUUUUUACACAGCGAAAUAAUAAGGACAGCAACAUCAAAGAAUUCGUAGCGCAUACCACCGGGCAGCAUGCUUUUAGAAGACCGUUACGUAUCACCGGCAGAAUGGUAACCAGGCUGAUUGCUGAAGGUCAAAGGAGCCGUAUCAGCCUUUCUACCGAAUUCCAGCAGAAAGAUUGUUGUUUUUUUGACCUUCCUACUGCCGCCUUUCUGGCGGCGGUACCGUUGAUAUAAUUAACCUUUCUGCCGAACUGGCUGACCCGUCAGAAAGCUUGCACAACCAUGCACAACCAUACUGCUACGGGUGAAACGACAAAAUUCCAAAAGUUUAAACGCAUGGGGGGUGUACUAAUAGUCUUCUAUCAACGGAUGUUCUUCAAAUUUUGCAUAAACACGCAUUACCAUGAAAAUCAUUUGUAACCCGAACCACCAAACCGUUUUGUUUUCAAAUUACAUAGUAGUUAAUAAAAUGAUUACCUAAAAAUUAACGAAAUAAGAAAUGGAAAAAAUGGUUAGCCGUCCCCGCAACCAACACCUGUUCCCGAAAUCCUUGCACGCAACCCGCACCCAUGCGGACCCCGAAAGGUCAACCGUGCACACAGACGCAGCCAAAAUGCUUACACUGUGAACCUUUUGCGCAACUUAGACACAGCAUGAAUUUUUGGUUUACUGUAGAAAAUUCGGCCAAUUAAUGUGCACAAUCAGUGUGUUUUACAGACAAUUGUACUUUUGUAUUACUAAUGACUACGAGUAUAGUGUUG